GGCCUUGACAUACUAAGAACUUUCCAGAGAUGGAUUGGUGCCUUCGGGAACUUAGAUACAGGUGCUGCAUGGCUGUCGUCAGCUCGUGUCGUGAGAUGUUGGGUUAAGUCCCGCAACGAGCGCAACCCUUUUCCUAUUUGCCAGCGGGUUAAGCCGGGAACUUUAAGGAUACUGCCAGUGACAAACUGGAGGAAGGCGGGGACGACGUCAAGUCAUCAUGGCCCUUACGGCCAGGGCUACACACGUGCUGCAAUGGUCGGUACAAAGGGUUGCUACCUCGCGAGAGGAUGCUAAUCUCAAAAAGCCGAUCGUAGUCCGGAUCGCAGUCUGCAACUCGACUGCGUGAAGUCGGAAUCGCUAGUAAUCGCGGAUCAGAAUGCCGCGGUGAAUACGUUCCCGGGCCUUGUACACACCGCCCGUCACACCAUGGGAGCUUGUUGCACCAGAAGUAGGUAGUCUAACCGCAAGGAGGACGCUUACCACGGUGUGGCCGAUGACUGGGGUGAAGUCGUAACAAGGUAAGCGUAGAUGA
rnacentral:rRNA from 1 species